rnacentral:rRNA from 1 species
GACGAACGCUGGCGGCGUGCCUAAUACAUGCAAGUCGAGCGCAGGAAAUCGACGGAACCCUUCGGGGGGAAGUCGACGGAAUGAGCGGCGGACGGGUGAGUAACACGUAAAGAACCUGCCCUCAGGUCUGGGAUAACCACGAGAAAUCGGGGCUAAUACCGGAUGGGUCAUCGGACCGCAUGGUCCGAGGAUGAAAGGCGCUUCGGCGUCGCCUGGGGAUGGCUUUGCGGUGCAUUAGCUAGUUGGUGGGGUAAUGGCCCACCAAGGCGACGAUGCAUAGCGAACCUGCGAGGGUGAUCGGCCACACUGGGAGUGAGACACGGCCCAGACUCCUACGGGAGGCAGCAGUAGGGAAUCUUCCACAAUGGACGAAAGUCUGAUGGAGCAACGCCGCGUGAACGAUGAAGGCCUUCGGGUCGUAAAGUUCUGUUGUAAGGGAAGAACAAGUGCCGCAGGCAAUGGCGGCACCUUGACGGUACCUUGCGAGAAAGCCACGGCUAACUACGUGCCAGCAGCCGCGGUAA